UACGAGGGGGGCGAGCGUUGUUUCGGAAUUAUUGGGCGUAAAGGGCGCGUAGGCGGUGCGGUAAGUCACCUGUGAAACCCCCGGGCUCAACUCGGGGCCUGCAGGCGGAAACUGCCGUGCUGGAGUGCGGAAGAGGUGAGUGGAAUUCCCGGGUGUAGCGGUGAAGUGCGUAGAUAUCGGGGAGGAACACCUGUGGCGAAAGCGGCUCACUGGACCGCAACUGACGCUGAGGCGCGAAAGCUAGGGGGAGCAAACAGG
rnacentral:rRNA from 1 species